GGGAGCUCCGUUGUGCGUCGCUUAAGUGAGGGCGGCGGAUGGGCGAAGGUCCGGUGACUGCGACUGCCGCUGCUCUCCGAGGCCACAGGAAAGGGGCCGUCGGUCGCCGCCAUGACAGCGAGCGAGGCGGAGGAACCAUGUAAGAAGUCUGACUGCCCUGCUGGAGAAACCAAAUGGAGAGGUCCAGAGACAACAUGGAGAGAGAAUGCACAGCUCAGCUGAGCCCAGCUUUCCAGUUAUCCCCACCAAUGCACCACACAUAUGAAGGAAGUCAUCUUGGUCCCUCCAAAACAACCUAGCCAGCCAGCUGGAUACCACUGAGUGACCUCAGUAGAUGCCACAUGGGACAGAAGAAUUCUCUAGUGAGCUUUGCCCACAUUCCUUACCCACACAGUCAUGAGUAUAAUUAAAUGAUUAUUGUUUUAAGCCCCAAGUUUUGGGGUGGUUUACUACACAGCAGUAUAUAACUGGAACAUUGGGCACUGAAGUAGCGGAAACCAUACAUGCACAUUAUAUUUCUGUUAAACUUGGAAAAGGAAAGAUCUGAUGGAGUGGGAGGAUCACGUAAGAUCAAGGGAGAAUUUUUAUGAAGAUAACAGAGACUUGGGGGUGUGCAUAUGCUGAUGGGGAAGAGUUAGGAGAAAGAGAAUGUUGAAGAUAGAGGAGAGAGGAGAUGGCUGAUGCAUGAGGUUUAUGAGAAGGGAAGGGAAGGGAUGAGAUGCAGAAUUCUGCUGGACGGACUGAUCUUGCGUACAAGGAUAGUGGGAUGCUUUGCCUUGUAAAAUAGGAACUGUCUGCCCACCUCCUGUUCUUUAAAAAUGUCAAGCAUAUCCAUGUACUAGAGUCGAGAGAAUAUAUGAAGGUUAGUUGGACAGUACUGGAUCUCCUAAGAAUUGUUUGACUGAGGCCCUUUCUCUGGAUUGCUGACUCAACCCAGGCUGGAGUUAAGUGAUUGGAAUCCACACCCUUGGACCAGAAUCCAAGUUACCUUCUGCUAAAGCCAUACAUGCACAUUAAAACCACACUUCCACAGGGUCAGCUGGUCUGGGCUCAAUGGACUCUCAAAAUAAUACAGGGUUCCAUUACCUCUGACCCAGAGGUUCUCUCCAAGAGAAAGAGCUGUUGAUGUUACAAUUCUGUCUGUCACUGUCCCUGUUAUAGCAGGGAGUGCAUACUGGAUUAGUAUCCCCCAGAAGGAUGUAUGGUAGGUUGGGUUGGUGGUGGAUGGCAGUUUGUAUCAAAACGUCACUUGAACUUCACCUUUGACAGCUGCAGACUUCCGCGUGCUGAUCUUUGCCAGCUUUCUUUCAUCAAGUUUUACGGAAAGGGAUGGAUGUACUUACGAACUCUCAGUGGCUUCAUCCUGGCAGAGAACAGGAAUGCUGCUUGCUCUGUGAACUCUGCAGCCUCAGUGUCCUCAUUUGUGGUGACAGCUCCCUCAUAAGGUCAUUGUAAAGAUUUAAGGAGAUGCUGAAUGCCCAAGUCCUGCCUCCAGCAUAUGUGCUUUUCUCCUUAACUUCCCACUCAUUACCUCUUGGGCCUUGAGUUUUCAUCUGUGAACCCACAUAGGAUAAUAGUGGGACUGAUUUCCAAGGGGUUGUUGUGAGGAAUGGCUAUGAGAAUUCAAGUAAAGCACCAAAGAGACUGCCAGACACAGUAGGGGUACCAUAAGCAGUAGCUGUUAUUACGAUAUGAUUGUAGUGAGGUGAAACUAUAAUUUCUUCCUUUCACUGAGAGAAAACUCUCAAGCAGCUGGUCCAAAGAGCAUAAACAUCACAAGGCAAGUAGCAGGAUGUUGCUGAAGGUUUGGGACAGUGGAGAGGGUUUAUUUUAGCACAGCAGACAAUAUGAAAGAGAGUAUCAGAACCACGUACCUGCUAUGACCCAACUUUUAUAGAAAAAGAACAAGAAUAGAUAUGUUUGUGUUUGUGUAAAAGCAGAAGAACACACCCCAGACCAGACUGUGGGGAGCUGGGGAACUUUGACUUCUACUUAUUCCCCUUUCUAUUAUUAAACUUUCUGUUUGAAAGUUGUUUUUUGGGCCAGGUGUGGUGGCUCACGCCUGUAAUCCCAGCACUUUGGGAGGCUGAGGCGGGCAGAUCACUUGAGGUCAGGAGUUUGAGACCAGCCUGGCCAACAUGGCGAAAUCCCAUGUUUCUACUAAAAAUACAAAAAUUAGCUGGGCAUGGUGGUGUGUGCCUGUAAUCCCAGCUACUAGGGAGGCUGAGGCAAGAGAAUCGCUUGAAACCAGGAGGUGGGGGUUGCAGUGAGCCAAGAUAACGCCACUGCACUCCAGCCUGGGCAACAGUGAGACUUUGUCUCAAAAAUAAAAAAAAAGAAAAAGAUAGAAAAAAGUUAUCUCUUUUUAGUUGAGCAUGUGCUACACUAAAGAAUGUUACAAUACAUUUUUAAAUUGAAUUUAUUUUUUUUUUUGAGACAGGGUCUUGCUUUGUUGCCCAGGCUGGAGUGUAGUGGCAUGAUCAUAGCUCACUGCAGCCUCAACUUCCUGGGCUCAAGUGAUCCUCCUGCCUCAGCUCCCCGAGCAGCUAGGACUACAGGCAUGUGCCACUACGCCUGGCUAAUUUUUUCAUUUUUAUUUUUUGUAGAGAUGGGGUCUUGCCGUGUUGCCCAGGUUGGUCUUGAACUCUUGGCCUCAAGCAGUCCUCCUCCAGAGCCUCCCAACGUGUUGGGAUUACAGGCAUGAGCCACUGUGCCUGGCCAGAAAUUGUUUUGAAAGGCUAACCAGUAAAACAUUAACCAAUUUACAAGAGAAAAACAACCCCAUCAAAAAGUGAGCAAAAGAUAUGAACAGACACUUCUCAAAAGAAGACAUUUAUGUGGCCAACAAACAUAUGAAAAAAAGCUCAUCAUCACUGGUCAUUAGAGAAAUACAAAUCAAAACCACAAUGAGAUACCAUCUCAUGCCAGUUAGAAUGGCGAUCAUUAAAAAGUCAGGAAACAACAUAUGCUGGCGAGGCUGUGGAGAAAUAGGAACGCUUUUAUACUGUUGGUGGGAGUGUAAAUUAGUGCAACCAUUGUGGAAGACAGUGUGGCGAUUCCUCAAGGAUCUAGAACCAGAAAUACCAUUUGACCUAGCAAUCCCAUUACUGUGUAUAUAGCCAAAGUAUUAUACAUCAUUCUGCUAUAAAGACACAUGCACAUGUAUGUUUACUGCAGCACUAUUCACAAUAGCAAAGACUUGGAACCGACCCAAAUGCCCAUCAAUGAUAGACUGGAUAAAGAAAAUGUAGCACAUAUACACCAUGGAAUACUAUAAAGAUAUAAAAACAGAUGAGUUCAUGUCCUUUGCAGUGACAUGGAUGAAGCUGGAAACCAUUGUUAUCAGCAGACUAACACAGGAACAGAAAACCAAACACCACAUAUUCUCAGUUAUAAGUGGGAGUUGAACAAUGAGAACACAUGGACACAGGGAGGGGAACAUCACACAACGGGGCCUGUUAGUGGAGUAGGGGGCUAGAGGAGGGAUAGCAUUAGCAGAAAUACCUAAUGUAGAUGACAGGUCGAUGGAUGCAGCAAAUCACCAUGGCACGUGUAUACCUAUGUAACCUGCACGUUCUGCACAUGUAUCCCAGAACUUAAAGUAUAAUUUAAAAAAAAGAAAAAAAAGUAAAAAAAAAUCAACAAAUCAGCAAACUACACAGAAGAAUAUUAGAACAAUUUCUCUCAAAUUUCUCUUCCAUUGAGCUUCCUGCCUGACCCUAGAGCUCCCUCACCUCUUUGGCUUACCAGCUCCCAUCCUUCAAAGUUUCUUAGUUUUCUGUGGGGAGUUUGAGCUACUCUUCCUUUAGGUCCAGGCCAUCUCAGCUAGGUCCAGAGAGCCUCACUCACCUCCCCAACUAAGCAAACAUCCCUGGAGGUAUGUUCUUCAUGCAAGGGCAGUUCCUGCUCUGAGAGAAUUUGUUUGGUUAGCUCAUAAAGGGAUUAUAUUCUUCUCCCCUGCACAUGAGACAGAGUAGCUGAAGUCUACUGACUUUAAUGAAAUUCUCUGUGAAGAGUCUGGGAGGGACGGUUUAGGUAAUCCAUCUACAAGGGUGCUCAGAGUUUGGAGAGAAGCGAUUGGUGUCAUUAUGAUGGCAUUCUAUGGCACAGUACUUACAGUGCACCAGCCACUCUUUUAAAGACUUCUCAAGUGUUCAUUCAAUUCUUACCACAACCCUGUGAGGGACUUCCUGUUAUUGUCUCCAUUUUACCAAUGAGGAACCUGAAGCAGAGAAGUUAACUACUUUGCCGAAGUUUCUUUCCUCCUUUGAGGAUAAGGAGCCAAAGGUUCAGGAAUGCCCAAAUCACAUCCCUCUUCUUGUCCAACCACCCAACCCCUCCACAGGCAACCUGAUCAGCCACCUUUAUGCAAAGUACAGUAUUCAGAUUGGAAUAAAAAUAUAUCUCCUUGACUCCCUGCUCUGAGAGGUAUUUCCUCUCAGACUCCCAAAAGCUGGAUUGAGGAACAUGGCUUAGUUGGUACAGUAUAGCAAAAUGUCUGCUUGUUGAAACUGAAUUUGUGAUUAUCUUCUUUUUCCCCAAGAAGUCAUUGAGGGCUGUUGUAUCCCUAUAAAAGAAGAAUUUAGAAUAGCCAAAAAAAGGGGGGGUGAAGUAGUCUCAUUACAGAAAAAGAGAGUGUGAGCAGCCUUUUAGUAGUUGAUUGCCUCAAGAUGUGGUAUUCAGCCAGGGUGAAGGGAAAGUAGUUGGGGAUGUGGAUCUGGAGGUUUACAGAAGCCUUUACCCAUCCUGAGACUCCGUCCUGCUGUUGGUCUUCGGAGAAGUGUCUGCACCUGCUGAGAAGAAAUCACACCACUGCACUCCAGCCUGGGCAACAGAGCGAGACUCUGUCUCAAAAAAAAAAAAAAAAGAGGAAAUCAGCAGACAUGUAAAUUUGUACAAAAACUAAUAAACCUCUGGAAAAAUGGACUCAGAAUAAAGACAUGUACAAAUGAAAAAUAUUUGGAAUGUGCACUAAAUGCCACUGAAUUGUACACUUUAAAAUGGUCAAAAUGGUGAAUUUUUUGUAACUUUUACCCCAAUGAAAGUUUUGGAACAAAAAGGGGAGAUAGAACUAUGGGUAGAAUACAGAAGAAUCAGGCCAGGGAUGGUGGUUCACACCUGUAAUCCCAGCACUUUGGGAGACUAAGGCGGGAGGAUCACUUGAGGCCAGGAAUUUGAGACCAGCCUGGGCAACAGAGUGCGAUUGCCAUCUCUACCAAAUAUAUAUAUUCAUAUAUUCAUAUAUAUAUAUAUUCAUAUAUUCAUAUAUAUUCAUAUAUUCAUAUAUAUAUUCAUAUAUUCAUAUAUAUUCAUAUAUAUUCAUAUAUUCAUAUAUAUUCAUGUAUUCAUAUAUAUAUUCAUAUAUAUAAAUCAUACCAUUUGAUGUGAUAUCUAGUAAUUGCUUUAAAAUACUCCAUCAAAAUGUGGGGGAUGAGACAAAUUAUGCAACAUAUUGAUAAUUCUUGAAGCUGAGUGAUGGGUACAUGGGGAUUCAUCAUUAUUUUCUGUAAUUUCAUGUGGGUUUGGAAAAUUCCAUUGAAAAUGUUAAAAACAACCCGCUCCUCCUGCCAAAUCAUUUGAAAACUUAAUUUGGGGAGUUUCUUAGAGCUGAAUUGACCUUUAAAUAUUAUUAAGUAUUAAAGUCUCUAGUAGCUCAGAGUUAAAGGGUAUUCCCAGCAAGUUUAAGAGAUGAGGAAGGGCCCUGAAUGUGAGCCAGAGCUACUAAAGUAGGAUGUGCCACAGGUCACCUCUCUUUCUGCUCUGGUUCCUGUGAAACAUAGUGCUUGUUCCAGUAACGUCACCUCUAGGAAUGUAUCCUCAGGAAAUAAUUGUUCAUAUGUGCAAACCUGUGUGUGAAUAAGGAUGCUGUUCUCAGUGGGUUUAUAACAGUGAAACAAGGAAACAAGGUAAUGAAUGGCUCUAAAGAGGCUGGUUUAAUAAAUCAUGGAUACAAGUAAAUAAUUGGAUUUAAUGCAGUUAUAAAAAAUAAUCUAAACACCUUGGACCUCAGUUGCCUGGUUUUUAAAUGAAGAAAGCCAGAGAAGAAUUGUAUUCCUCAACUAGUUUUAGGAGGCCAGCAAAUCUUUGAUACCAAUAUCUCACAAAGACAUUAUACAGAAAGGAAAAUUAGAGGUGAAUCUCUCUUACAGACAUAGAUCUAAAAAUCCUAAACAAAAUAUUAGCAAUUGAAUCCAGCAAUAUAUAACAAUUGUAAUAAAUCAGGACCAAAUCUUGUUUAUUUCAGGAAUGCCUGGUUGGUUUAUUAUUAGAAACCCAAAUAAUGUAAUUUAGCAUUUUAACUAAUAAAUGAGAAAAAAGCAUAGAUAAUAGAUACAGAAAAAGCAUUUCAUAAAAUUCAGCAUCCAUUGAUUAUUUUAAAAACUUAUGGUAAAUUAGGAAUGGAAGGAAACAUUUUUAAACUGAUAAGUGGUAUUUACUAAAAACCUGCAGCAAGCAUCCACUUAAUGUUGGUUCAGGAAUAAGACAAGAAUGUCUCUUCUGACUACUUGUUGUACUCUAGGUCCCAGUCAAUACAGUAAGGUAAGAAAAAGAAAUGUAUAUGGAUUGGGAAAGAAGAAAUAAAACUACCAUCAUUCACAGAUGACAUGCUUGUGUAUGCAGAAAAUUCUAAGGAAGCUACAGAUUAAAAUUAUUAAGAGAGAUUAGCAAAGUCAGUAUACAAUAUCAACAUCAAAAGACCAGUUAUAUUUCUAUAUACCAUCAACAAGCACUUAGAAAAUGAAAUUUAAACCAAUAUUUAAUUUAUAGUAGUAUACACAAUUACCUUGAACUAAAUGUAAUAAUAGACGUACAAAACCUCAAGCAAAAGUUAUGAAGCUUUGUUGACAAUGUCAAGUGUUUGUGAGGAUGUGGAGCAACAGGAACUCUCAAACACUGACGGUGGAAGUGGGAAUUGGUACAACUUUGGUAUACAGUUUGGUGGUAUCUAGUGAAGUUGAAAAUAUACACAAUCUAUGAGCCAGCAAUUCCUCUCCUACAUAUAUACCUUGUGUGUGCACAUAUGUACCAGGAGACAUUAAAAACAUGUUCUUAACAACAUUUUUCAUAAUUGUCCCAAACUGGAAACAGCCCAAAUGUCCAUCGACAGUAAAAGGAUAAAUAAUUUCUUGUAAAGUCAUAGAAUGGAAAGCUGUAACACAAUACUGAGAAUGAUGAACCAAUGCUGCAUGCAACCAGGUUGAAUCUCAGAAUCAUAAUUGUAAGGGCAAUGAGCUGGAUAUAGAAGGAUAUAUGCAUUAUAGUUCUAUUUAUAUAAAGCUCAAGAAACAAUAGUGUUUGGGCAUCUAUAUUUGAGUGGUAAAGCUAUAAAGGAAAGUAAGAAAGCAACAGCCAAAACUGUCAUGAGAGUGUUUUGUUUUGGAGAGAGGAAAGAGGUUGUGAUUGGGCAAGGACUUACAAGAAUUUCUAGAGUUCUGGUGUGUUCUGUUUCUUGAUCUUUAUGGUGAUUUGCUUUAUAAUAAUUUGUUAAGCUGUAAAUUCAUAUUUUAUGCACUUCCCCCCCCCCCCCACUUAGAGUGUUUUACAAUGUGGAAAUGUUAAGAUCUAUCUCAGGGCUUGUUGUAAGAGUGAAAUGAAGUAUAAAGCCAUGUAGAGCUUGUAGAAUAUGCCUGGCACUUUGUAAGACCUUAGUAAAUGUUAUCUAUCUAAACACAA